UGUAGCAUAGCAGGCAUAGCAGUGGAAGCAGUGGAAGCAACGUAGAUUGUUUUUAUUCAUUAUCUUGUUAAAAGAAAAAAGUUGUAGUGUUGUGCCCUAGUAUAUAAGGCAAUGGAAAAUCAUAUCAAUAAACAAAUAAAAUAAUAAAAAAAGCCAUAUUGUGCCCAGGGCUAAUAUUAAAACACUCAGAAUAAAUGAAUUCUGCUUCUAUAAAUUUGUGGUUCAGCAAAAUGGCAGCAGCCGACUCACCAACCGACGACAGUCUUUAUCCAAUUGCAGUUCUGAUCGAUGACUUAUAAAAUGAAAAUUUACAACUGCGAUUAAAUUCAAUCAAAAAACUUUCAACGAUUGCCUUGGCACUUUGUGCUGAACAUACUCGUUGUGAGUUGAUACAUUUUGUUCCAUUGGUACAACGUUUGGCAUCUGGUGAUUGGUUUACGUCAAGAACAUCGACAUGUGGUUUAAUAAGUGUAUCUUAUCCACGUGUAAGUACAGCAACAUCAGCUGAAUCAAGAAAUCAUUUUUGUAAUUUAUGUCAAGAUGAUACACUAAUGGGGCGACAUUCAGCAUCAUCAAAAUUGGGAGAAUUUGCGAAAGUUGUUGAAAUUGAGUAUUUAAAAUCUGAUUCAAUUCUAAUGUUUGUUAUACUUGCACGAGAUGAACAAGAUUCUGUUCGUUUAUUAGCUGUUGAUGCAUGUGUUAGUAUAUUGCAACAUUAUUACAACGAGAAGAUGUUGAACAACGUGUUAUGCCAAAAUUACGUCAAUGUGCUGCUGAUUUAUCAUGGCGUGUACAUUAUAUGAUUGAUGAUGAAUUUA